GUGAAUGAUGCAAAAACCACAAAUAGGAUCACACAAAGCACACAAACAAGGUCCAAAAGUUCGAAGUCACGAGCAUGGAGCCAAGGGUAAGAACUAACCCACAAUGUGUGUACUAAGGGUAUAAUCAUCUGUAGAACAAGGUUCUGAAAAGUUCCCAGAGUCAUAAUCCCCUCUUUUGGAUAUUACCGACUUAAACGACUACUCGCCAACCAAUAAUAUUCUCAAGAGAAA
rnacentral:lncRNA from 1 species